AGUAUUAAAGGCAACGCCUGCCCGGUGAACAAUUAAACGGCCGCGGUACCCUAACCGUGCAAAGGUAGCGUAAUCACUUGUCUAUUAAUUGUAGACCUGUAUGAAAGGCAAAAUGAGGGCCUGACUGUCUCUUAUAAUCAAUCAAUUAAACUGAUCUCCCAGUACAAAAGCUGGAAUGCACACAUAAGACCAGAAGACCCUGUGAAGCUUAAAUCAAACUAUCAAACCCUAUGAUAGCUAAUUUCGGUUGGGGCGACCUUGGAAAAAAGAAGAACUUCCAAAUACAACGGUAAAACCAACACUAAGGCCAACAAGCCAACAAACGAUCCAGCAACGCUGAUUAAUGAAACAAGUUACUCCAGGGAUAACAGCGCUAUCUUCUUCAAGAGCCCAUAUCAAAAAGAAGGUUUACGACCUCGAUGUUGGAUCAGGACAUCCUAAUGGUGCAGCAGCUAUUAAGGGUUCGUUUGUUCAACGAUUAAUAGUCCC
rnacentral:rRNA from 1 species